CCUACGGGUGGCAGCAGUGGGGAAUAUUGCACAAUGGGGGAAACCCUGAUGCAGCGAUGCCGCGUGAGUGAAGAAGUAAUUCGUUAUGUAAAGCUCUAUCAGCAGGGAAGAAAAUGACGGUACCUGAGUCAGUAGCCCAGGCUAACUACGUGCCAGCAGCCGCGGUAAUACGUAGGGGGCCAGCGUUAUCCGGAUUUAUUGGGUGUAAAGGGAGCGUAGGCGGCUGUGCAAGUCUGGAGUGAAAGGCGGGGGCUCAACCUCCGGACUGCUCUGGAAACUGUACGGCUGGAGUGCAGGUGAGGUAAGUGGAAUGCCUGGUGUAGCGGUGAAAUGCGUAGAGAUUAGGAAGAACACCGAUGGCGAAGGCAGCUUACUGGGCUAUAACUGACGUUGAGGCACGAAAGCGUGGGGAGCAAACAGGAUUAGAUACCCCUGUAGUC
rnacentral:rRNA from 1 species